CCUACGGGAGGCAGCAGUGGGGAAUUUUGGACAAUGGGCGCAAGCCUGAUCCAGCAAUGCCGCGUGAGUGAAGAAGGCCUUCGGGUUGUAAAGCUCUUUUGUCAGGGAAGAAACGGUGGGGGCUAAUAUCUCCUACUAAUGACGGUACCUGAAGAAUAAGCACCGGCUAACUACGUGCCAGCAGCCGCGGUAAUACGUAGGGUGCAAGCGUUAAUCGGAAUUACUGGGCGUAAAGCGUGCGCAGGCGGUUUUGUAAGUCUGUCGUGAAAGCCCCGGGCUCAACCUGGGAAUUGCGAUGGAGACUGCAAGGCUUGAAUCUGGCAGAGGGGGGUAGAAUUCCACGUGUAGCAGUGAAAUGCGUAGAGAUGUGGAGGAACACCGAUGGCGAAGGCAGCCCCCUGGGUCAAGAUUGACGCUCAUGCACGAAAGCGUGGGGAGCAAACAGGAUUAGAUACCCUGGUAGUCCACGCCCUAAACGAUGUCUACUAGUUGUCGGGUUUUAAUUAACUUGGUAACGCAGCUAACGCGUGAAGUAGACCGCCUGGGGAGUACGGUCGCAAGNUUAAAACNCAAAUGAAUUGACCGGNUGAGAGUGCGAGACGACGACGAGGAGGAGG
rnacentral:rRNA from 1 species